AUUUUCAUUUUUGCUUGAAAUAUAUCCUUUGUAAAUCAAUUGUAAUGUGUGGUGUUGUUUUUGGUGCCAAGAAUCUACAAGGAUUCAAGGGACCUGAGGCAUGCAUGUAGGUAGAUCUAGAAUGCAUGGUGAUUUUGGAGCUAAAUAACCAAUUGCAAAGGUAUUCUCAAAUGUGAGGAAGUUGUGAAUCAUAUUUGAAAAUUCAAGCUUAAACCGAGAGAUAAGUAAUCGGUUUGAAUACAUCUCUCAACACAUCGAGACUAGCUACAACGUAGGAACUUUAGGAAUAAGGCUUCAAAUUGGUGAAGAAAGGUGUUUGAAGGACUAAGGCUCUAUUAGUACAUGUUGCGGUAUUUUGAGCAUACCUUUCACUCUAGAUGUUUAAAUAAAGUGAUUUUUACUCCUUUGGAAAACUAAGAGGUAGAGCUACAACUUUGAUAAGACUACUUUGCCCAGUUCUGACUCUAAGUUGGAAAAAAUUGCAUUGAAAGUUCAUAGCGUGCCAUAGAAGACUGGAAGCCAGGCCAACACCGUGACAUUGAAGGCCAGCACUGUGGCAUCUAAAGCCCAAUUUGGAUUUUUUAGCCCAUAUCCUAAAGGUUGCAAGUUGGUGCAUGUUUUGGAAGAUAAAAGAGUCCUAAUAGGGUUUUCACACCUAUUAUAAGUCUCUAUAAAUAGUUAAUUAUGCUUGGUUUAAGUUGAGGGAGAAAAACAAAGAGUUUUUAGUUAUUUUUAGAGAAGUUAUCCACCAAAAAUUCAUGAAGCCAAGCCUCCAAAAUGGAAUAUUGAAGAUCAAGACUAAUAAUCUUUGUUUUCUGCUUCCCUAUUCUUUUUAUUAUUCUUGUAUUUUCUUAUGGUUAAAUUUCAGAUGAUUUUUAUUUCGAUCA